GAAAUCAUGAGAUUUGUGUGCAUGUUAAGUGCCUACUGUUUUCAGUAUCCUUUUUAAAAUGUAGUCUAUAAUGCUACUGGGAAAAAGAGAACACAUUUGAGAGAGGUUUCUCCUUACAUAUACAAUUUCAGGGUUUGGAACAGACCACCUGGGAGUUCAUAAACUCCUGAGGGACUUGUGAGAUCCAGUCCGCAUGUGAAAUUUCUAAAAUAUACUACAAAACUUUGGUUGCAAAUAUUCCAUGGUCAGCAGUCCCAAAUGGGGACUCAAACAACUGGAAGGAAGGAGCCAAUGAGGACUUCGUGAAAUUCAGCUAGAAUGAAUGCUGAGUCCUGCAUCUGUGAUGGAUGAACCCUAGAACUGACAGAGGCUGGGGAGUAGCUUGGCAGGAAAGGCUUUGAACACCUUGACUUAGGUGGUGGGCUCUUCUCAGCACACCUGAAAGAGGGACAAGAGACAGAGCAGCCUUGUCUGAGCUCACACCUAACCUUGCUUUGAGCAACAAGCUGAACUCAGAAUGUCCUGAUGUCCCUUCCCACCUGAAUUAUCCUGCGAUCUUCUAAAGUGCUGCCUUUAGAAGUCUGAGGUUCCCAUUCCCCAUUUGCCUCCAUCUUGCUCUGACAAGCUGCCUUAGCCUCCCUGAUUUUUCUCUCCUGUUUUAAACCAUGUUCUGUGAAGUGAUUCCUAUUCCAAACCAGUAGAGUCUUGUUAUGGUCAUGUUCUGAUUUAUUUUGCUGCACAAUUAUGAGCUACAGUGAAGCUAUGCAUUUCUAUGAGUAAAGGAGGAAGCUUAUGUGCUUUAUUACUCAUUACAGGCCUUUAAAAUAACCAGCCUUUUACUGUAAAUAUAUUAUUAUUUUUCCUAACAGCAAAGCUAAACUGCAAAUGUGCCACUAGAUGUCCCUUGUCACCCAAGUGAUGGUGGCACAUUCCCAGCGCUAUAUGAUGUAGCAUUGUAAAGAAAACAGUGUUUAAAGUAUUCAGUACGGAGAGAUGUCAUGGCUGCCUCAGAAAGACUUGUGUUAUCCUCAGAAAGGUAUUGUCAUAGGUAGCAAGGAGAUAAUUACUUCUUUUAUCUCUUUUGCUUAAUUCUAAAGAGACCCCCUAGUAAGAAGGUGUUUGUUCUGAAGGGAUAUUUUCACCAGGACCAACCCAAAUUUCCUUGUGAAAAAUGCUCACACUAGGAAUUGCUGGGUUGCUGAGCCUAACACUGUGAUGUUCAACAACUUUUGCAACUCCAGUACAGGCCAGGGUAGCGUGAGAUGGGAUCUGGCAAUCUGUGUCAGUAGAUCUGCUGGAGAAGGGAUAGGUAGCUUCAGGAUUUUCUUGCACCUUUGUAUUGAUUCUGACCUUUGGGGCAAUUUUAUAUUGAAAUGGACCAAUGAAAGAAGCUGCUUCUGUGAAGAGGUGUUGGACAUUAAGCAUUAGUUUAAGGAAAGAAGAAUACAAACAGAGGGAAAAAAUUGGUCUCAAUUUGCUUCAGACAGAAACCCAACAAAUGACAGUUAAAGCCCUUCAUCCUCUUUGUUGGCUGCUGAGAGCAGGAGAUCACCUGCUUCAUGUGAGCUGGAAGAGCUGAGCUGGCCAGUGAGGACGGAAGAAGAUGCAUGCCAGGCUCCUUGAGGAGGUCCUCAGGGCACCCUCUCUCCUUCUGCCCCUCUACUCCACCAGUGCAGCCAAAGCCUGGAAGGAUCACUGUGUCCCUACAAAGGGGGAAAGAGGCUGGAUGUGCCGCUGCGGUGUGUGAUUGCACAGACCACGCUGUUGUGUAUUCAGUCACAUACGCCUGCCUGAAUGACUGAAAUGAAGUAUUUGCUGCUUUCUACUUCAUUUAAACCUGCGGGAGCUGGUAGUGCUCAUCCUCCCCACAUACUGAGGUAUCCACACGUGCCACUCGCCAGCCUGGGGCUUCUUCCCCAAGCAAUGGCUGAGCAAAUCUCUUAAUAACAGAGCAACUACUGGCAGAUUAUUGUGAUCAUAAUUUGGCUGACAUAGCCUUUAUUACUAAUGGCAAUGCUGGAAAUGGAAAACCCAGCUUGAUGCUCAGCUCCCUGCUGGAAAGUAAUAAAAUAAAGAGGAACAAAAUCCUUGAAUGUAUUUGCUACCAAACCUUUGAAAAACACAAAAGUGGAACCCUGCCAAUGCUGUUGCUGGCAGUUUUUCAGACCAGAGCCUCUCUCCAAGGUAGGAUUAGAAGUGGAAAUGCAUUUGUAUCUAUGACAUUAGUAUCGUGUUGUUGUGUAUGAAUGGAAGGCUUGCAAUCAUUUGACAUCUAUUGGUUUCUAUUGCAAUUAUGGUACGCUGCUUUUUUUUUACCUUCAGCAUAUUUUUUAACAAUCUUCCAGUCAUGGAAUAAUUAGAAAACAGCUCCAGUUAUUGUAGAAACAAAAACAAACAAACAAACAUACAAACAAAAAAGUGUUUAUUUUGUCAACUCAAAGAAUGGUCAAAAGAAGAGUUUCAUUUAAAAUGUUCUUAUAAAAAUGGAGGGUGUCGCAGCUUUUCAGUGAGGUCUUUGUUGACAAUGUGGGCUGAGGGAGGUUGGCUUUUACAUAAACUCUUUUGUCCAUCUCUGUGCAGUGGCAGAAUUUGCAGCUAGUUUCUGAUGGCAGAAAUUUCUUGUCUGUGGCAGCUGAGAAUGAUUUGAUAUCAUGUAGAAUAAUAAUAAAAAAAGCAUCUCCAAACUACAGCUCAGACUUUGAAUACUAGAAUGAGCCUUCAGUGCUAAGGAAUGAGCCUCCAGUGCUAAGUAUACAGAGAAAGCUAUUUAAUUUUUUUUUUUUUAAACAUAAAAAGAACCACUCGAUACAAUCAGUUGCAAAUAAAAGAGGAAUGUAAAUGUACUUUUCAAUUAUUUAUUUAUUUCGCUCCCUCUCUUUUUUUCAUGUUAAUGUUUCUUUGGCUCUUGGCUCGUAACCAUCCAGUGAUUAUAAUUAUAAAGAAAACCAACUUUCUACCAUGCUAAUUAAACUGUAUGUCACAUAGGCAUUUGGGGAGAAUUUCCCAUGCUUUCCAGUGUGAAUGGAAGGAAAGAGCAGCGGUGCUCAAUUUAAACUCGAUUUUUUUCUGGUACCUUGCAAAAAGGCUUCAUUGUAUUUUGAUUAAUCUAUGCUUGGUCCACCUCGGAUGUUUCCAUGGAAACAGAUUUUUUUUUUUUUUCUUGAUGGCAACUGUUAGGCUCAGGAAGGUUCCUCUCUACACAAAACCACUCCAGCUCCUAAAGAACUACUUGUUGGAAAUUUAAUGUGCAUAAACAAAACUCCCAAAUUCCUCCUCAGUAUUACGGUAUUGUUGUCGUCAACGCUAAUGAAGAAGUGUUUUCUUAAUGGUAUGGAAUGGUGCCUUUUCACUCCACAAGGAAAUAGAAUAAUGUUAUUAUUCUUUCUACUGCAAGAGAGUGCUUUUCUUGGACCAGGAAAAAUUAGAUUGCAAACCUUUCAAAAUUAAAUUUUAAGAGUUCCAGUGUGUGAAUAUCAUAUAGUUCUAGGCAUAAAUCAUUUGCCUAAAUGGCUGUAAAAAUUUAAUUAAACUUGCCUUGUAGAUUGGCAGCAAUUUGAAUGAAUUAUUCUUCUGCGUCAUAUUAUUUUUUUCAAAGGAAGAAAUAAGCUCUUCAUACACACUGCUAUUACGUUUGAAAUAGGUUUAAAAAGUCAACCAACAGGGGGAGCAUUUGUAUGCUAUUGUUAUUGUAACAAAGUGCUUGGAAACAUGACCAUAUUUUUUUGUCUAAAAUUAUUAGAAUUCUUGACCAUUUUUAAAAAUAGAAAAGGUUUUGGUUCGGAGUGUUUCAGUUUCUGAAAAAUCAGAUCUUGACUUUUGCUGACAGUACAAGAAGCUAUUUUAAAUUAGGUUCAUUGUUUGGAAAAAUUGAAGUUUUAAACAGCAGAUCAAAUAUUAUUUUGGUUGAAAAGCAAUUUUUAUUUAAAAAUACGUGGAGGAAACCAAUUCAAGCACCUCUAAUUGAAACUUGACUUGUUUCUUUUAUUGCAGUGACACCUAUACCAGAUAAGAUAGUGUAGAAAUACAAAAUGUAGAUACGUCUGUUAGAGUAAUGCCCUGACACCAGUGCUUGUAAAAGUCAAGGCACAGAUGAGAGAAAAAGAGCUGUUGAUUUAUUCAUCCUUCUUUUUGUUUCUUCUUUGUUCAUCAUGAGAAGGAAUCUGCCAAAUGGAAAAAGGAAGAUCUCUUUGAGAGCAAAAUAGUUUUCAAGCGUUCUCCACGCACGUACUGCGAAUAGGAAGUAUACAUCGAGCUAGGGAAAAAAACAGGAACCUGUCAGUUCCUCUUUCCCAUGUUCUAUUAGAAUCUGUUCAUACAAUAACAGCACCUUUUUUACCUAAGCGUUCCUCUUGAGCUUUUGGAGCACCGCUACCAUCAGCUGCUCUCACAACAGCACGAGGUGUGAAGGGUCCAUCUCUUUUCACAGUGGCUCUGCAGAUAGCAGUGCUGCCCAUUUGUAGGACACAAGAGGCUGUACAACGCUUUAAGGUAGGUCAGGAAAGUGAAAUAGCUGGGGGCAGUAGGACCUGGCUGCAAUUACUUGAAUGAAUGAGAAUUCCGUACUGAAUAUUGCUCUUGGCUGGAAAAUGUAACAGUGCCCAAAGCAGCCGUGCAGGCAGGAUGUGGUAAGGAUUUACCGUGAGUUUGUCUUUGGAGAACUGUGUUGCUCAAAGCCUUGGGUUUCUUUGAAGCAAGAUUUAUUUCUCCUCUAUAUGUGGUGCUGGUUUGGUAAGUACUGGUUUUGAAUCUCACAAUCAUGCAGUGGAUUCUUGGAAUUAGUCAGGACUUAGUUUUUUGUUGUUGAUGGUGGUGGUGUUUUGUUUGUUGGUUUUUUUUUUUUUCAGAAUCAUUGGAUGGCUUGGGUUGGAAAGGACAUCACAGAGCAUCUAGAUCCAACCCCCAGCCAUGGGCAGCACUGCUAGCAUCAGGCACUACAUCAGGCUGCCCAGGGUCCCAUCCAACCUGGCCUUGAAUGCCUUCAGGGAUGGGACAUCCACAGAUUCUCUGGGUAGCCUGGGCCAGUGCCUCACCAUUCUCUCAGUGAAAAAUUUUCUCCAGACAUCUAACCUAAAUCUCCUCCUCUAGUUUAAAACUGUCCUCCCCUUACGUGAUAGUGAAAGUGUCCUAUGACUAUCAAUCAAUGAUUUUUUCCUCAAUAUUUCUUUCUCUGCUGAUUAAAUUAGUAUGUAACUA